rnacentral:rRNA from 1 species
GACGAACGCUGGCGGCGUGCUUAACACAUGCAAGUCGAACGAAAAGAGGGAAAGAGCUUGCUCUUUCCGGAAUUGAGUGGCAAACGGGUGAGUAACACGUAAACAACCUGCCUUCAGGAUGGGGACAACAGACGGAAACGACUGCUAAUAACGAAUAAGUUCCAAGAGCCGCAUGGCCCAUGGAAGAAAAGGUGGCCUCUACCUGUAAGCUAUAGCCUGAAGAGGGGUUUGCGUCUGAUUAGCUGGUUGGAGGGGUAACGGCCCACCAAGGCGACGAUCAGUAGCCGGUCUGAGAGGAUGAACGGCCACACUGGAACUGAGACACGGUCCAGACUCCUACGGGAGGCAGCAGUGGGGAAUCUUCCGCAAUGGGCGAAAGCCUGACGGAGCAACGCCGCGUGAGUGAUGACGGCCUUCGGGUUGUAAAACUCUGUGAUCCGGGACGAAAAGGCAGAGUGCGAAGAACAAACUGCAUUGACGGUACCGGAAAAGCAAGCCACGGCUAACUACGUG